rnacentral:tRNA from 1 species
CUUGGUGGUGCAAACAGUUAAUGCAUUCAGCUGCUAACUGAAAGGCUGGUGGUUCGAUCCCAACCCAAG